AACGUUUUUUAAUGAUUAAUACACUAAAAUUGAGAUCAUCUCGAAAUAUUGAAAAUAUACAAGGAUUUUCUGGAAUAGUGUAAGAAGUCAGCUCGUUCUGAUGAUUACGUUUGUAAUUAGACUUAUGUUUUUGUAAGCCCAGUUAGAAUAGUCUAAAGUUCCGUUUUAAUCUCGUCCAAAUUUUUUUUAUUGAGACUUUGUUAAUUUGAGAAUCUUAAAUUUACUAUUUAAUUUAGAAUGUAGUAUUUUGUGAUGUGUGGUAACUGAUGGUCAACAGCUAGAACAAGACAACAAGAACUUUACAGGGUAAAGCAAGUAAUUACAGAUGAAAGUUUCGCCACCCAAAUAUAAUUGUAAAAAAACGGACAGAGGUUGAUAGAUUAGGUUGAUGAUUUUGGACUAAUAUUUUUAAUUUGUUAACAAUCAAAGAAAAAUUAAGUGGGUCGCCCUUGGUGAUAUUGGUCAGCACUAAAGGAUUGAGUUGAUCUUAACUCUCUUGGUUAGUUAUAUAACUGGAGAACAGCACAGAGGAAUUUUGAUUUUUUUAUAAGAUUUGUAUCAUGGUUAUAAAUGAAAUGUGGACCUUUUUCGGUGGAAUAACUGCGUAACUUAAAAGUAGGAAAAAUGAGGAGGUCCAGAUCGCAAACGAGCAUACCGCUUCUAAAAGGGAGAGAAAGAACAAGAUCGUUAUCUAGAACAGGGAGUGUGAGUCGAAAUGCGAGCUUGGAUAAGAAAUUAACCCCUUUGCCAAAUCUGGGGGUAAAACGCAGCCAAAAGAAUUCUUAUUUAACCCCAUCGACGCCUAUCUAUCUGGGAAUGGGCAAACGGAGUGGUUAUAACAGUAGCAUUGGACAGAGUGGUAGUAGAGGUGUAUCUUCUGUUAAUAUGAAAGCGAAGCAAGAUCAAAUUAAAGACAAAAAAUGGGUGUCAGAACAAUAUCAAAAGUGUAAACUUUAUAUCAGUUCUUGUGGUAAAUUCGCAUGUCCGUCUAUUGCGGACUCUAUAAGACCGCCGACGAUAAAAAUUCUCGUAGAAAUAAUGUCCACCAUGCUGGAACAAAUCUUUGGGGCAGUCAAUAUGAACGCGCAUAAUUAUGCGGAGGUCCUGGUGUCACAUCUGAAGCUGUUGAGUUACCCAGGAUCUUUGUCAGUUUCAAGCGUAAAAAGCUGUAAUACGAUGCAUGGCUUCCCUCAGUUUAUAGGAAUAUUGUCGUGGCUUAUUGAUAAAGUAUUGCAACCAGAGGAGGAUCCCCAACCACUUGAACUGGAGCAAGAAUCGCAGUUGCAUAAGAGCGUUUUUAGAUUCUUUAGUACUAAUUAUAUGCCUUGGUCUUCCGGGAUAGCCGACCGACCAACUGAAGAAAGCGUGAUGCAGCUGCGGGCUGAUUUUUCAGUCGGUUUAGAGCAAGCUGUGGAAAUUCAGGAACAAAUCGAAAUGGUAAAGGCAGACAUAGAAAAAGCUGAAGAAAAUCUGGAAUCAUUGUCAAAAAAAAAAUUGGAUUUAGAAAAUGAAAUCAGAUAUAAACAAAAUGUAAUUGACACAGUGUUGAAUGAUGAUGGAGAGGAAGACUUGAGAUUGCACAAUGAGAUCACCGAAAUGGAAAGAAAAAUAGAGAUACAAAAGAAGUGUCUGCAAGAAAAGGAAGAACAUAUCCAGAGUUUAAAAAAUCAACAAUUGUCCCAACCUUGUACAAUUCAAGAAAAAAAAGAACUUUUAAGGGAAAUAGAAGACAAGAAAAGAUACAUUGCUCGAUUAAAGGAAACAACUUUAGAAUAUCAGAAGAUGAGAGACGACUUGGAUCGCGAGAUAAGAGAAUUAGUUCUGUCGAUUGAGAAAAACGUGGAUGGGUGGAAUAUAGCGAUCGUAAAAACCUUUCUGCCCGAAUUUGAAAAAUUACAGCUGCCAUCGAAGGGAUUCCACUCGCCCGCGUUCUUAGAGGAAGUGGAGCGCAUUAAGAAUGAAAAACUGAUAUUAGAGAGCAAGUUUCGAAAGGAGUACGAAGAUCUAGAAGUCGAAAAUGCAAAAUUGAAGGAACAAGAAGAACUCUUAAAAGUCGGAACCGAUUUCAAAAAGUUGGACGACUGCGUGGAAACAGCAAAGCUUCACAACGAUAGACUUAAAUUGGAAAUAAAAGAGGCUCAAGAUCGCCUUUUGGCAGAAAAGAACGAGAUGGAAAAUUUUGCGGUUCACAUGCAGCAGACCUUGGGUGUCGAAAUUUCGGAACAAGAAACAAAACUGAAAGAUGCCCGGUUGAAGUUACGGGAGGUAGAAAAGCGUUUUGAAGAAAUUGGCCAAGCCGGCAUCGAGUGUAUUACCACCUGUUAUAGAGAAGGUGUCCAAAUUUACCGUCAGAUUGAUGAUAUGGCUAACAUGUGUCUGGUCCAAGAGCAAAGUAAAUUAGUCGAGGAGAGAAACAAAAUGGUACAACUGUUUGAUAAUUUGUGCUGUCUUUAUAAGACAAUCAGAAACGUGAUUAGUGAAGUGGAAACCGCUCCGAGACCUCAGUAACAAAUACUAUACGUACAUUCUAGUUUUAGCCAGAUUUUUCAAUAAUUUUUACAUAAUAAUUUGGUUAUAGACCGGGUUAAAAUUCAUUUCCAGAAUCUGGAAUUACAUCAUAAUAGCUGUAUAUAUCAUCCCUAUGCCAUUUGAUCCAUUCGAGCCGAGGAACAUGGGAUCGAAACUUUGAGGCAUCUUCCAUUCCUUGAUUAUUGACAUAUUAAAUAAAAACUUACAUAGAAGUAAGAAUAGUUUGAAAUGCUCUUAAUCAUUAUCUGGUCCGUAGUUUAAUACCGAUUGUGCAUGCAAUAGAAGGCUCUUAAACAUCAACAAAACUUCAAGUUUUAACGAGCCAUGUCAAGAGAUUGAAGAGAAGAACCGUCAUAGUAAAUGGCUUGCUAAAUUAUUUGAAGAGGAAAUUGAAUACAUCUGAGUCAUUAGAAGAGAUCUUCAAGUUAAAUUUAAGGAAUUUACUUAAACUUGCACUUGUCAAAUACAUAGUGAUUAGAAGUUUGAUUAGUUUUUAGUUAGUUAGUUCGUACUCCCCAAAUAAUUACUAGAAAACCGAAAUAAGCGUUUACUUCGUUCUAAAAAAUCAAUGCACUUUUCGCGACAGUCUUAACAACUCGCUUUGCAGGUAUUACGCCGCAAAUUAAAAUUAAAAUAAGAGAUUAAAAUUAAAUUUUAGGAAAUCCUACAACAGUUAUAAACAUAAUUUUUUUAAACUAAAACUAUUGUUAACAGACCAAGGUUUUUUUUUGCCUUGUUGCUUUCGAAAAUCGAUGGAAUCGAAUUUUUCGAAUGUAUCUGCGCUCGUAUAAAAAUUCAUCACCGUAGAACAAAAAAAAAUUUUUUUGUCUGUCCGUUCUCCGUUCUCGUCUUGGUUUUUCCUCAAUAACUUUCGAACCGUUGGAGCUACAAAAUUGAAAUUUGCCUCCUUUUUAACCCUCCAUGAGGCACAUAAGCAUAUAAGAAAUGGCCCUCAUCUGACGUCGGUAUCCAUCUUUUUUUCGCGCUUUGCGACUGUUAUUUGGACAUUGCUACGAAACACGAUAAGUGUCCGAAAUUUGAAGCAAUCGACUUCAUAUUUGGCACAUAUAUGCAGCCUUGCCUCAUGACGGAACCUAUUGAAAAUGCAAUGGGGGGUCGGGAAGUAUUUAAAAAAAAUUAAAAAUCGCGUGUGCAAGGGGUCUACAAAAAAAAGACCAUUUUUCAAAAACGGUUUACAAGACCGAAAAAAUUCUUGAACCGGAAGACGCAGAGGAAACGACUCUAUAAACUUUUAUUCUUGACAAUUUUUCAAAAAUAUACAAUUAAAAAAAAACUGAAAAAUGGGUCC